ACACCUCCGGCUGUAAGGAAGUGCUUCGCGCACGGGCCCUUUUUAGGG
rnacentral:ncRNA from 1 species